rnacentral:sRNA from 1 species
AAGGAACACUCUGCUGCUCAGGCCCCCAACUGAUAAGUGAUUGAGACUGUCUGUGAAUCAUGGAUACUUGGACAUGCUGAGCCUGGGGAAGAAUCACCCUGGACUGAUGCCCGAACCGAAUAGGCCUGGUCCAGCUGGCCUUUCCAGGUCUCAAGUACAAACCGAUGGCAAGGAUCUCUCUGGACACCACAGGGAUGUGGAGGCGAGAGUGAAGUCUUGGAGCACACAGAUGAUACUUCAAGUCCUGAUUCUGCCACUUGCUCAGUGGGUGACCUUGGAGAUGGAAUUUCACCAUGUUGCCCAGGCUGGUCUCGAACUCCUGAGCUCAAGUGAUCUGCCUGCCCGCCUCAGCCUCCCAAAGUGCUAGGAUUACAGAUGAAUGGAAAAAAUGAUGGGUGCAGUCUAAAUAUCAGCCGGAUUAUGGUAAAUUUCAGCUCGCUGCAGGAAAAUUUUAUGGAGACAAAGAAAAAGAUAAAGGCCUCCAAACCAGUGAAUAUGCCAAGUUUUAUGCCUUCUCAACCAGGCUGAAGCAUUCAGCAAUGAGAAUGAGAGCUUGGUGUUUCAGUUUUCAGUAAAACACGAGCAAAGUAUCGAUUGUGGUGGCGGAUAUGUAAAACUCUUUCCUGCCACCCUGAACCAGGAGGAUAUGCACUCAGGAUCCGAGUAUUACAUCAUGUUUGGCCCUGACAUUUGUGGCUUUGGCAACAACAAAGUACAGGUCAUCCUUCAUUAUCGAGGGAAAUACCAUGAGAACAAGACCAUCAAGUGCAGGGCUGGGGACAGAGUGGGCCAGACAUGGCCUUUGACUUCACAGAACUCACAGUCAAUGAAGGUAAGAGUCAAGCAAAGUGACUACCUAGUAUGAUGGGCAUCUGUGGGAGCACAGAAGAGGACCCCUACCCAACCUGGAGGCUUAGGAAAUACUUCUUAGAUCAAUAAAGACACUCACCUGUACACUCUGAUUAUUUGCCCCAACGCUACUUAUGCGGUUAAAAUUGACAACCGGCAGGUGGCAGCUGGGGAUCUGGAGGAGGACUGGGACUUCUUGCCUCCCAGGAAAAUAAAAGACCCUAUGCCCAGAAACCAAAGAAAUGGGAUGAACGCCUGCACGUAGAGGAUCUGGAAGACAAGAAACCUGAGAUCAGAGGGCAUUUGGCUGGGAAGCAGGUGGGAUCUCAGCUGUGGAGAUAGGAGAAGGAGGCUGGGAAUGAUGGAGCAGAGACUGGGGACAUCAAUCCCUCAAGGUGUUCAGCUAGAUAUUGUUUUCCAGAGAGGCAUGGAGGGAAGAGGGCAGCCAUUUACCUUUGUUGGGGAUCCAGCAGCCUCUGUGAACAAUGUGUUAUGAUACCUCUUUUGUGGAUAAGGAAACUGAUGUUUAGAAAAUGAAGUAACUUGCCCAAGCAUAUAUGUGUUGGAACCAAGAUUUGAACCUACAUCUUUUUGACUCUUAAGUUAUCAAUAUGGGGAAUGUGUGGAGUAUACUCACUGGCUCAUUAUUAUACUCAUUGGCUCAUUAUUAUUAUUCUGGAAAGCUGUACUGGAUAUAGCUAUGAAUAGAACAACACUUGCCCUCUAGGGAUUCUGAAUAUAGUAAGGGAGGCAGAUAAGAAAACAAAGAUCAAAAUAUGUGAUCGGUGCUGAGAGCCAGGGAGGCAAGCCAGUGAGAUCCCAAAAGCGGAUCUCAGCCCAGCCUGAGUUGAGGUGUAGACAGUCGUCUGAGAAAGAGAAGGAAAUGCUUGAGUGAGUGAGUUAACCUAGGAGUUGGAAACAUAAACUCUGGGGUCAGGCUGAUACAGGUUUGAGCACCACCUUUUUCUAACUAUGGGUCCCCAUCCUACUAGCAGUUAACUCUGCACAAGGAACAUAACUGCUGUGAAAGUCAACUUCACAAAUAGGGAUUAUUUUAAUACUUAUGUGUGAAGGUUACUGUGAAGAUUAAAUGAGCUAAUAAAAAAUACAU